AAGUAGUAGUUGAACUAUCUUC
rnacentral:miRNA from 1 species